rnacentral:rRNA from 1 species
CUACGGAAGGCAGCAGUGGGGAAUAUUGCACAAUGGGCGCAAGCCUGAUGCAGCGACGCCGCGUGAGGGAUGACGGCCUUCGGGUUGUAAACCUCUUUCACCCAUGACGAAGCGCAAGUGACGGUAGUGGGAGAAGAAGCACCGGCCAACUACGUGCCAGCAGCCGCGGUAAUACGUAGGGUGCGAGCGUUGUCCGGAAUUACUGGGCGUAAAGAGCUCGUAGGCGGUUUGUCGCGUCGUCUGUGAAAUCCCGCAGCUCAACUGCGGGCUUGCAGGCGAUACGGGCAGACUCGAGUACUGCAGGGGAGACUGGAAUUCCUGGUGUAGCGGUGAAAUGCGCAGAUAUCAGGAGGAACACCGGUGGCGAAGGCGGGUCUCUGGGCAGUAACUGACGCUGAGGAGCGAAAGCGUGGGUAGCGAACAGGAUUAGAUACCCUGGUAGUCCACGCCGUAAACGGUGGGCGCUAGGUGUGGGUUUCCUUCCACGGGAUCCGUGCCGUAGCCAACGCAUUAAGCGCCCCGCCUGGGGAGUACGGCCGACAAGGCUAAAACUCAAGGAAUUGACGGGGCCCGCACAAGCGCGAGCAUGU